rnacentral:rRNA from 1 species
AUAUCAGUAAGCGGAGGAAAAGAAACUAACCAGGAUUCCCUUAGUAACGGCGAGUGAAACGGGAAAUGCCCAGCCUCGAAGCUCUUCUACGGAAGCGCAGUGUGAGGUGUGGUGCUUUUUACCUUGGUGCCUUUUAUACCUGUUCUAAGUUUGCUAUGAACGCAACGCCAUAGAGGGUGACAGCCCCGUAAGAACAGGUAUAGGUGCCUGUACAGGAAAUUGCACUUUGAGUAGGGCUGUUUGAGAAUGCAUCCCGAAUUGGGUGGUAAACUCCAUCUAAGGCUAAAUACGUGCACAAGUCUGAUAGUCGACAAGUACCGUGAGGGAAAGUUGAAAAGUACUCUGAAAAGAGAGUAAAAUAGUACGUGAAACCGCUAACAAGUUAUCGGGUAGACUGUCAAUUGCCAUAAAGCGGCUUUGUUUAAAGCUGCGCUACGGGUACUGCAAGUUGGACUGCAGCCGCAGACAUUGUCUUUUGAAAAUGUUGUGUACGAGAAUUUUCAGAUCCGUGGCUGUCUCGGCGGCUCGAAUUGAAUUUUCUUCCUCAACUUUCCAAUGCAGUUUGGUGUUCUGCGGUCUUGCCUUGCAGCUAUUUCGACGGUCCACCCGGCCCGUCUUGAAACACGGACCAAGGAGUCUAACGCUAGUGCGAGUCGCAAAGCAGUUUGUAUGCUUUUGGGCGAAAUGAAAGUGCCGCGUGGCCUUGUGUUGGAACGAUACAUGUCGAAAGGCAUGGGGCAGUUCCGGGCAGCUAAGCACUCUGGGCUUAGUCUGACCUUGAGCAUUAGUGUUAGGACCCGAAAGAUGGUGAUCUAUGUCUGGACAGAGCCAAGCCACGGGAAACCAUGGUGGAAGCUCGUAGCGAUUCUGACGUGCAAAUCGAUCGCGUGAUCUGGAUAUAGGGGCGAAAGGCCAAUCGAACCAUCUAGUAGCUGGUUCCCUCCGAAGUUUCCCUCAGGAUAGCUGGCAGUCGUCUCAUUGAACAGUUUUACCGGGUAAAGCCAAUGAUUAGAGGUCUUGGGGAAAUUUCUUCCUCAACCUAUUCUCAAACUUUAAAUCGGUAAGAAGUGGUUGUUUCUUAACUGAACAACUGCGUUGAAUGUGACUGCUAAGUGGGCCGUUUUUGGUAAGCAGAACCGGCGAUGCGGGAUGAACCGAAAGCCUAGUUAAGGCGCCAAACAAAUGCUCAUGAGACACCAGAAAAGGUGUUGGUUGGUUUUGACAGCAGGACGGUGGCCAUGGAAGUCGGAAUCCGCUAAGGAGUGUGUAACAACUCACCUGCCGAAUCAACCAGCCCUGAAAAUGGAUGGCGCUGGAGCAUUUGGCCUAUACUAGGCUGUGGCAGUAUACGAUGGUUGGCCUCAGAGUUGUCAACAUCACUGGCCUGCCACAUGUAGGAGGGCGCAAAGGUUGCGGCGAAGCGACCCGCGUAAGCGGGCGUGGAGCAGCCUUUGGUGCAGAUCUUGGUAGUAGUAGCAAGUACUCAAGUGAGAACCUUGAGGGCCGAAGUGGGGAAGGUUUCCAUGUGAACAGCAGUUGAACAUGGGUUAGUCGGUCCUAAGCGACGAGCGAAGGCAGCUGCUUUGACAGUUUCAGGCAUAAGCCUGACGUCGCGAAAGGGAAUGGGGUUAAUAUUCCCCAACCUGCCUUUUUGGUGUUUAUGGCGGUAACGCUAGUGCGCGCUGGGACGCAGAGUGGAGACCGGGGAAGAGUUCUCUUUUCUUAUUAAGAAGGGAUUGCCUUGGAAUCGGAUUGCCCGGAGAUAAGGUAGUUACCUUCAAAGAGCACAGCAGUUCUUGUUGUGUCCCGCGCUCUCUGCACUGCCCUUGAAAACCAGUGAACACUCGUACCACGGAGGCAGACCGUACCGAUAACCGCAUCAGGUCCCCGAGGUGAGCAGCCUCUGGCGCUGGAACAGUGUAGGUAAGGGAAGUCGGCAAAAUGGAUCCGUACCUUCGGUACAAGGAUUGGCUCUGAGGAUUGGGCACAUCAAGCCUUGGUAUUGGAGGGAGGCAUGCCGUAUUUCGAGAAGGGCUCCUUUGUCUGCCUAACGGUUGCAAUUGCAGUCCUUUUUGAAUGUCGGCAUCCUCCAACCGACACCUUGGUAUCUGUUGGUGUGCAUGUA